rnacentral:rRNA from 1 species
CUUUUAUGGAGAGUUUGAUCCUGGCUCAGGACGAACGCUGGCGGCGUGCCUAAUACAUGCAAGUCGAGCGGACUUGAUGGAGUGCUUGCACUCCUGAAGGUUAGCGGCGGACGGGUGAGUAACACGUAGGCAACCUGCCUGUAAGACUGGGAUAACUACCGGAAACGGUAGCUAAUACCGGAUAGGCUUUUUCCUCGCCUGAGGGAGAAGAGAAAGACGGA